rnacentral:rRNA from 1 species
GGUAGUCCAUGCCGUAAACGUUGGGCGCUAGGUGUGGGCCGCAUUCCACGUGGUCCGUGCCGCAGCUAACGCAUUAAGCGCCCCGCCUGGGGAGUACGGCCGCAAGGCUAAAACUCAAAGGAAUUGACGGGGCCCCGCACAAGCGGCGGAGCAUGCGGAUUAAUUCGAUGCAACGCGAAGAACCUUACCAAGGCUUGACAUGCAGGGAAAUCCUCCAGAGAUGGUGGGUCCGCAAGGGUCCUGCGCAGGUGGUGCAUGGUUGUCGUCAGCUCGUGUCGUGAGAUGUUGGGUUAAGUCCCGCAACGAGCGCAACCCUCGUUCGAUGUUGCCAGCGGGUGAUGCCGGGGACUCAUCGGAGACUGCCGGGGUCAACUCGGAGGAAGGUGGGGAUGACGUCAAAUCAUCAUGCCCCUUAUGUCUUGGGCUUCACGCAUGCUACAAUGGCCGGUACAAUGGGCUGCGAGACCGUGAGGUGGAGCGAAUCCCAAAAAGCCGGUCUCAGUUCGGAUCGGGGUCUGCAACUCGACCCCGUGAAGUCGGAGUCGCUAGUAAUCGCAGAUCAGCAACGCUGCGGUGAAUACGUUCCCGGGGCUUGUACACACCGCCCGUCACGUCACGAAAGUCGGUAACACCCGAAGCCGGUGGCCCAACCCGUAAGGGAGGGAGCUGUCGAAGGUGGGACUGGCGAUUGGGACGAAGUCGUAACAAGGUAGCCGUACCGGAAGGUGC